AUGUUCCAUGAGCAGAACUUUGGAAGGGUACAGGACAAGCAGAAGUUUGAGAAGGAGUUGGCCAGGCUUAAGAGUGAACAUGAAAGGGAGUUGGCCAAGCUUAGGACUGAAAAUGACAAGCUUUGCAUUGAGUACACCAAGCUUGUUGAUGAUGUAUCCAAGAUGUUUGAUUGGCAGGAUGGUAGGGUGGACAAGAAGGUGUACCAGAAACAAGUGGAGGAGGAAGAACUUGAGAAGAAGAAGAAGGAGCCAGAGGAGAAAGCUAUGUUGGAGGUGCAGAUGGAAAAGCUCAGACUUGCAAAAGAGCAGAGGUGCAUUUUGCAGAGCCAAGCUGAUAUCAUCAAGAACACCAGGAAGGCUAUGAAGGCCGUUGAAGUUGACAGAGAUGUUCUUAAGAAGGAGAAGGCAAAGCUUGAGCUUGUUGUUGCUGAGCUGCUGAAAGAAGGGUAUGGCAGCAAGGAGAAGUUAGAGCAAAUCAAGGCCAUCCUUGAGUCUUGA
rnacentral:rRNA from 1 species